CUUAGAGAAGAAAAUGUCACAAGACCGUCAACUUCUGAUCCUGCUGUUUAUAUUGGCACAGAUGUGUGUAGGGACGCCAUCACCAGCUUAAUUUUUUGUUUUUGGUGACCUUGUGGGGGGGUCUUCAGUUUCCUCCAGUUGAUAAGCAAGAAAAGAGGAUGAGGAUGAUUAAGGAAGCAGUUUUCUACCCAACCUUCUAAAUGUCCACAUUUCUGUUCAUUUUCCUUUGGCCAGAACUCGGUCGCAGAACCGCAAACCAACUGCAAGAAUGGCUAGAAACUAAAAACUUCUGCAUCUGAGGAUGGGAAAGAGUCUGGAGGGCUUAGUCUGCCACCUGACGUAUUGAUACGCAAUUAAAGAAGAUUUCUUUGUAUCAGACAGGGUUAUAGAGGAUACUUGGUACAAGAUUGUUAUGUGGGCAUCAGAUCAAGGCUAAAGCUUACUCUAUAUUUGAGUCUGCAUUAACUGGACAGCAGUGGAAACCUCUUUGGGCAGAAUGGCACCAGGUCUACAGUGCAGGAAGAACCAGCUUCUAUUUCCUUAGGUCAGAUGCUAAGGGAGUGAUAAUACUUUUAUGAUUGUUUGAUAUUUCCACGACAACAGAGUCUUUCCUGAUAAAUCCCUGGGGUCAUAAAACAGCCAUUUCUUUGCCUAAGCUGCUGUAAGUUGAUAUAAUUCCCCUUGACAUGUUUUAGUUUUCCCACUUAAGGUUAGAUCAACAAUAUAGCUCUUGUUAUGUCCUUACUCUCAGACUCGUUGAGUGUCUAUUAUGAAAACACAGUCCCAGUGGUUUGGGACUUUAGCUUUAAAUAAUAUGGUGGCUUUUACAGAACAAGAAAGCAUCAGUUCAUGAGAAAUUCAUUGGAGAGCAAUAAUUUGUAUGUUCAAUAAAAUGUCCUAAAAUAAUAGCCCACAAUAACACCAGUCUGUUUCCCUUUUGUGUAAUCAACUCCAGGAAAGGGUGGACUAUGUGUGGAUCAAUGCUGAGGGGAAGCUCUCCAGUCUGACUAUCUACGGUUUGGGAUGCCAAGAGAACUGAAGCCUUCGUGCUUUGGUACUAUUGUGGUCUACACAAGGCGGCCAGUGACUCUGACUUCACAAUUUGCUCUAUUAUUUUCCAGCUCAGGUGAUGGUUAAAGCCCAUAAUGGUGGACCAAAGGCACAGAGGCAGGAACAACUGAAGAGAGCCACUUCUUGAUCUGGGUGCUCUCUUUGGUCAGAGUUACCACUCUGAAGAAUGGGGACUUGUCUGAGACUACUACUCUGUCAGAAGGCCUCAACUCUGGGCCAAGCAUUGGAUCAUGGACAGCAGGAGUGAGAGGCUCAGUGCUCCAGUUCUACGCUAAGAUUUUCUGGCUUGCAAAUCUCUUGGCCUGCACAUUGGGAAGGUCUGUGUGGGUUUAAGAGGCUGCAUCCUGUGACCUUAUUUCCAGAAGAGGUUUGGUGACAAUGGUUUUUGACACCCAAGAGUGUUCCCAGAAUCUCUGUACACUCUCUUGAACUUCAUACAUACUUCGAAAAGCAAAAUUACUUUUACUUUAUUUUGAGGACAGAGCGACAAACCAUGAAACAGGAUGAUCAGAAAAAAGGAG
ensembl:lncRNA